GAAACGACUGCUAAGACUGGAUAGGAGACAAGAGGGCAUCUUCUUGUUUUUAAAAGACCUAGCAAUAGGUAUGCUUAGGGAGGAGCUUGCGUCACAUUAGUUAGUUGGUGGGGUAAAGGCCUAACAAGACUAUGAUGUGUAGCCGGGCUGAGAGGUUGAACGGCCACAUUGGGACUGAGACACGGCCCAAACUCCUACGGGAGGCAGCAGUAGGGAAUUUUCGGCAAUGGAGGAAACUCUGACCGAGCAACGCCGCGUGAACGAUGAAGUAUUUCGGUACGUAAAGUUCUUUUAUUAGGGAAGAAUAAAUGAUGGAAAAAUCAUUCUGACGGUACCUAAUGAAUAAGCCCCGGCUAACUAUGUGCCAGCAGCCGCGGUAAUACAUAGGGGGCAAGCGUUAUCCGGAAUUAUUGGGCGUAAAGGGUGCGUAGGCGGUUAAAUAAGUUUAUGGUCUAAGUGCAAUGCUCAACAUUGUGAUGCUAUAAAAACUGUUUAGCUAGAGUAAGAUAGAGGCAAGUGGAAUUCCAUGUGUAGUGGUAAAAUGCGUAAAUAUAUGGAGGAACACCAGUAGCGAAGGCGGCUUGCUGGGUCUUUACUGACGCUGAGGCACGAAAGCGUGGGGAGCAAACAGGAUUAGAUACCCUGGUAGUCCACGCCGUAAACGAUGAGUACUAAACGUUGGGUAAAACCAGUGUUGAAGUUAACACAUUAAGUACUCCGCCUGAGUAGUGCGUACGCAAGUAUGAAACUUAAAGGAAUUGACGGGACUCCGCACAAGCGGUGGAUCAUGUUGUUUAAUUCGAAGGUACCCGAAAAACCUCACCAGGUCUUGACAUGCUUCUGCAAAGCUGUAGAAACACAGUGGAGGUUAUCAGUUGCACAGGUGGUGCAUGGUUGUCGUCAGCUCGUGUCGUGAGAUGUUGGGUUAAGUCCCGCAACGAGCGCAACCCUUAUUGUUAGUUACCAGCGCGUAAUGGUGGGGACUUUAGCAAGACUGCCAGUGAUAAAUUGGAGGAAGGUGGGGACGACGUCAAAUCAUCAUGCCCCUUAUGACCUGGGCUACAAACGUGAUACAAUGGCUGUUACAAAGAGUAGCUGAAGCGCAAGUUUUUGGCAAAUCUCAAAAAAACAGUCUCAGUUCGGAUUGAAGUCUGCAACUCGACUUCAUGAAGUUGGAAUCGCUAGUAAUCGCGAAUCAGCAUGUCGCGGUGAAUACGUUCGCGGGGUUUGUACACACCGCCCGUCA
rnacentral:rRNA from 1 species